rnacentral:lncRNA from 1 species
CUUCCCUUUUACAUCCAUACAAGUGUAAAAUAUAUUGAGAAACACAUUCCGAACAAUAUGCAUGACAUCUAAAUUGUGUCGAAUAUGUAGUGUAUGCCAAUAGGGCAACUCCCAAAAUAUGCUCCUUUUCACCCAAUUAUGCUCUUUACCGAAUCCAGGAAUGGUGUGCUUAGGUGCUUUCAAACCAAAUGUUAUAUUAGGCAAGGUAGAGACCCUAUUUUUCAACUCUUCACCAGACAGUCGAGGAGGUGGGGGGUCUGUCUCUAUUCUACCAUUGAAGAAACCAUCAACUUGGUAUCUGUAUGCAUGGUCCAU